rnacentral:rRNA from 1 species
UACAGAGGUCCCGAGCGUUUGUUCGGAUUCAUUGGGCGUAAAGGGUGCGUAGGCGGCGGGGGUAAGUUUGAUGUGAAAUUCCGGGGGCUCAACCCUGGCAUGGCAUUGAAUACUACCUUGCUAGAGUACCGGAGAGGAAACUGGAAUUUACGGUGUAGCAGUGAAAUGCGUAGAGAUCGUAAGGAAGACCAGUGGCGAAGGCGAGUUUUCUGGACGGUAACUGACGCUGAGGCACGAAGGCCAGGGGGAGCAAACGGG